rnacentral:rRNA from 1 species
GACGAACCAUCCAAACGUUAUUCGGAAUUACUGGGCUUAAAGGGUGCGUAGGCUGCGCAGAAAGUUGGGUGUGAAAUCCCUCGGCUUAACCGAGGAACUGCGCCCAAAACUACUGUGCUUGAGGGAGACAGAGGUGAGCGGAACUUAGGGUGGAGCGGUGAAAUGCGUUGAUAUCCUAAGGAACACCCGUGGCGAAAGCGGCUCACUGGGUCUCUUCUGACGCUGAUGCACGAAAGCUAGGGGAGCAAACGGG